GAAAGGGAGGCAAAGAAAAAAUCAGCAUCCACUACACUGCUAAAGGCAGUAAGCCUACUGUCCAAUGGGUGGAGAGAGAUGCAGAUGGACGUCGAAUCUUAAAAAGAAGCAGAAGUGGAGAGACAUGGAAAAAACAUACAUCGGCUACAGUUUCUGUUGUCCCUAAGGAGGCCUCUGCUUCUUUUGAGCCUGCUGAGGAGGUUCCCACAGUGACCCAAGACACCCGUUGUCAAUAUGUAUUUGACACUGAGAUGCAGAGCUUAAAGGACAUUCUGACCACAGCGAAUGUUCAGAAUAUGGAAGAGCAGCUUCAACCUCCACAUCAUGGUGCUUGCGUCAGUCUGCUGCCCAAGAUGAGUGGCGGAAAGCACGGUCCCAUCACCUGAACUGUUUGCUGUCCUGCAAUGAGGUCCCAAAAAGGAAGUGCUGUCACUGCACCUCCCCUGCUCUAAUUCGCUGCAGAGACUGCAUUCCAGAGGAGUGGCUGUGUAUGGAAUGUGACAUACACAUACAUUUUAAUCUCACACUACAUAACAGGGAGUCUUGCAUUGAUGGGAUUUACAAGCCCAUUGAGCCAACAGUGUGCUGCGUAGAAAAGGAUGGCACAUACUGUCUGGUCAAUCAAGUGCGACUGUUGCCUACAGUGAGACCUUCCCAGCUAUGCACCUGUGACCCUGAAAACAUUACAGAGUCAGCUGGCAGAACAGUUAUCACGGUUUGCAUAAAUGGUCAGUAUGAUUUGCACAUGCCAAAGUUGUUUUGCAGAUUGUACCUGGCACAGUGGACACCUGACAGAAGCGACCUUAUAAAGAGUGGCUACUGGCCAGCAACUGGAAAUGCUGAGACGUUGUUUUCAGUUGAUGUCUUCAGCACAUUUGAAGAAAUGAAAACUGUUGCACCCAGUUUGUCCAGGCAAGCUUUUUUGCGGAUGUUAGAGAGGAGAACUUCUCACUUUGGAAGGGUAGGUUCAGUGUUGAUGACAGUUGCAGAGAUUGGAGAAUAUUACUUUAGCUAUUUCAUGUAA
rnacentral:lncRNA from 15 species